UACGUAGGGUGCAAGCGUUUGUCCGGAAUUAUUGGGCGUAAAGAGCUCGUAGGCGGCUUGUCACGUCGGCUGUGAAAUCCCGAGGCUCAACCUCGGGUCUGCAGUCGAUACGGGCAAACUAGAGUAUUGCAGGGGAGACUGGAAUUCCUGGUGUAGCGGUGAAAUGCGCAGAUAUCAGGAGGAACACCGGUGGCGAAGGCGGGUCUCUGGGCAAUAACUGACGCUGAGGAGCGAAAGCGUGGGGAGCGAACAGG
rnacentral:rRNA from 1 species